CUGCGGAAGGAUCAUUGUCGAAACCUGCAUAGCAGAACGACCCGAGAACCUGUAAAUACCGUCUGGUGUCACAAGGGUUAGGCUUAUGUUUGACCGUUGUGGUGCCUUGUUGAUUUGCCAUCCAUGGUCCCCCUUUGGGGUGUGUCCUGGAUGUCAAAUCAACACAACAACAAACCCCGGCACGGCAUGUGCCAAGGAGAACUUAACUUAAGAAGGGCUUAUGCCAUGCCACCACGUUCGCGAUGGUGUGCAUGACAUGUGGCUUCUCUGUAACCACAAACGACUCUCGGCAACGGAUAUCUCGGCUCACGCAUCGAUGAAGAACGUAGCAAAAUGCGAUACUUGGUGUGAAUUGCAGAAUCCCGUGAACCAUCGAGUUUUUGAACGCAAGUUGCGCCCGAAGCCAUUCGGCCGAGGGCACGUCUGCCUGGGCGUCACGUAUUGCGUCGCCCCCUCAUCGUGCUUCCCUUACAGGGAUACACGGGGUGGGGCGGAUAUUGGUCUCCCGUACCCUAGGUGCGGAUGGCCAAAAUAGGAGUCCCCUUCAUGGACGCACGACAAGUGGUGGUUGACUAAACCUUCGUCUCGUGUCGUGUGUUUUUAGCCGUGUGGGAGGGCAACACAAAAAACCACAACGUGUCGUCU
rnacentral:misc_RNA from 1 species